rnacentral:rRNA from 1 species
UACAGAGGGUGCGAGCGUUGUCCGGAAUCACUGGGCGUAAAGGGCGCGUAGGCGGGCGAUCAAGCGUGCGGUGAAAGCUCGGGGCUCAACUCCGAGUCGGCCGUGCGAACUGGUUGUCUAGAGUCUGGUAGAGGUCGAUGGAAUUCCGGGUGUAGCGGUGGAAUGCGUAGAUAUCUGGAGGAACACCGGUGGCGAAGGCGGCAUCCUGGACCGGUAUUGACACUGAGGCGCGAAAGCCAGGGGAGCAAACGGG